AGACAAGAAAGGGAAAGAAGUUCACUGCUUACAUCACAAUGGAGUCUAGAACACCCAUGAGACUAGGUAGGAAGAUGGUGCCGGCUCAUCCCUCCCAGCACAACAGAAGAAAAGGCUAAGGAAACAGCAGCAAAGAGCAGAUAGCAGCCCUCACACCCUUCCCACACAACCUUGUUCUAUUUGAUAGGAGCCUAGCAUGGCGACUCACUGAGAGGCUUUACCCAGCAGCUGACUGAGACAGAUACAGAUACCCACAGACAAACAUUGGAUGGAGGUCAGGGAACCCUGUGAAAGAGUUAUGGGAAGAAUUGAAGGCCCUCAAGGAGAUGGCAACCCUACAGGAAGACCAACAGUGUCAACUAACCUGGACCCCUGGGAGCUCCGAGAGACUGAGCCAGGAACCAGAGAGUAUGUGUGGGCUGGUCUGAGACCCCUGCACAUAUGCAGCAGAGUGUUGCCUUGUUUGGCCUUAGUGGGAAAGGACAUACCUAAUCCUGCAGAGACUUGAUGCACCAUAGUGGGGGAAUACCAGCAUUAUCCUAAAACCGCAGGAAGGGGAUGAAAGAGAGCCAAGGAUCGACAUGACAGGACUUCAGAAGAAUCUAGAAAGGCCUCUGCAUCAGCAGCACUUGGAGAGCCUUUGACCUGCACUGAGGGGACAGUGGGUCUUUACAAGGCACCCAUCCUUACAGUUCAAGAUGGACAGCUUCAGAAAGAGCUGAUGCCAAUCAAUAAGAGAUGGGUCCUACCCGUGUCGCACUAUCCCUGGCUGGAAGUGAAGGCUAGGAGGCAAAGAAAGGGUCACAAGCCAACAGUAUAUGACAAGGACUUUGAAGAAACCCUUUGCAGAGUAAACACAGAUUUUUCUUCUGUCAAGCCACCCGGGGUGACUCAUCUCUUUGGAAACAUGUCUCUGGCGUUCUUUCCUCCGGCCUGGACUUCUUGGAGGCAGUUAGGCAGAUUGGUGGCCGAUGACCAGGAUGACCAGAGAGAAGUCAGGACUUGACGUCCUAGAUCCAGCUCUACCGUGGACUCGAGGCCGAGGUCUGCUGUGUGCAAAGCACAGCUCUGCAGCCAGUGUUUCAGAGUUUGCGUGAUCAGUGACUGAGG
ensembl:lncRNA